UCUUUGGUGUGAAAGGAGGACGUGGAGGCCGUGUGACAGCCAUGGCGAGCUACAAGGUGAAGCUUGUGACCCCAAGUGGAGAGCAAGAGUUCAGUUGCCCAGAUGAUGCAUACAUUCUUGAUGCUGCAGAGGAAGAAGGCAUUGACCUUCCUUACUCAUGCAGGGCUGGUUCUUGCUCUUCAUGUGCUGGCAAAGUUGUGGGUGGCCAAGUGGACCAGUCUGAUGGUAACUUCCUUGAUGACGACCAAAUUGAGCAAGGCUUUGUUCUCACCUGCGUUGCUUAUCCCACUUCUGAUGUUGUUAUUGUCACUCACAAGGAGGAGGAGCUCGUUGCUUAAAUCUUGUCAUCACUUUCCUUUCCCACUUCUGAUGAUGUAUGCUGCUUUUUCUUUUUAUGUCUUGUGCCAUUUCUCAGGAUAUACAC
rnacentral:lncRNA from 1 species